GGGCCGGUAGCUCAGCUUGGUCAGAGAGGAAUUCCACCCUGCAACGUUCGGCUGAUAACCGAAAGGUCGGGAGUUCGAAUCUCCCCCGGCCCA
rnacentral:tRNA from 1 species